GUACAUUAGUGCUUGCGCACAACAAUAGGUUUCAUUACAUUCGAGUGUGUGUAAAAAUCCUCUGCCAGCCGAAGCUAGCAAGAGGCCAGAAGUUCACAAGGGUAUUGGAUGAAAGCCACCGCCGUGCACUUGCCAGUUCUGGCCAGCACAGACGGCAACCAUUCGUAAUCAUUAAUGAUCCUUCCGCAGGUUCACCUACGGAAA
rnacentral:misc_RNA from 1 species